GUCCUACGGGAGGCAGCAGUGAGGAAUAUUGGUCAAUGGCCGGAAGGCUGAACCAGCCAAGCCGCGUGAGGGAGGAAGGCGCAGAGCGUCGCAGACCUCUUUUGCCGGGGGACAAAAGGCCGGACGGGUCCGGUUCUGAGGGUACCCGGAGAAAAAGCAUCGGCUAACUCCGUGCCAGCAGCCGCGGUAAUACGGAGGGUGCGAGCGUUAAUCGGAAUUACUGGGCGUAAAGCGCUCGUAGGCGGUAUGUCAAGUCAAGGGUGAAAUCCCCGCGCUCAACGUGGGAACUGCCUUUGAAACUGGCA
rnacentral:rRNA from 1 species